UACGUAGGGUGCAAGCGUUAAUCGGAAUUACUGGGCGUAAAGCGUGCGCAGGCGGUUGUGCAAGACAGAUGUGAAAUCCCCGGGCUUAACCUGGGAACUGCAUUUGUGACUGCACAGCUGGAGUGCGGCAGAGGGGGAUGGAAUUCCGCGUGUAGCAGUGAAAUGCGUAGAUAUGCGGAGGAACACCGAUGGCGAAGGCAAUCCCCUGGGCCUGCACUGACGCUCAUGCACGAAAGCGUGGGGAGCAAAUAGG
rnacentral:rRNA from 1 species